UUGUAUUUCACAAUGCGUUAGCUCACGAGAUAUUGUGGCCAAAUCUGGUUGAUUUACCUGAAAGAGUUAACGCCCAGAGUCAGCUGAUUCGGAUUGGAGAGAGAGAGAGAGAGAGAG